AACCCAACACGCGCUCUCAGCUGGCCGGUGUGGCACAACCCUCCCCCCACCUCCCCUUCUUGGCCUUCGCCAGUGUGGGAGCCUCGUCUCACUGGAGAGUCCGUUCAGAAUCCUUGUGGGGGCGGGGAGGGGAAGAGCACCGGUGCGAACCCCGGGGUGCCCCCUCGCCCGACUUGGACUUCUCCGACUAAAGAGGUGGGAGGAGUUCCCUGCAGCCUGCGGGGCCAAGAAGAAAGUGCUAAGCUGAGGAGCCGCAGUCGGAGGACCCCAGGGACCCGACAGGAAGUCUCCGUACGACCCCAACGGAUCCACAUGCCCGGAAGCCCAGGCGACACUAAGCCAGCGCUGGGGAACUGACGUACUCCUGCAGUCGCAGGGCGCUCCAUGCCUCUCUGUCCUCUUCUUUGUUGUGGGUAACGUUCUCUGCGGGAGACCUGAGGUUUUCCAAGGGGGACAUGCCAGCUACACUGGCCUUGGCGCCCUGAGCUAAGCACCAGGACUCACAGCCUAGCACGAAGGCAGGUAGCACCUUCACCCGCCGCGGACGAUAGGCGCUCUCCUGUACCUCCUUUAGCUCGCGAGGCCCGCCCUUCGCGAGGUCCCAGAGAAAAGCAGGCUGUGGAAAACUGGGCGCCCCCUUCUUUCACCCACCUUCUUACCCCUGUCAGCGCCGAGAUCUGUAGCAGAGGUUCCUGGUCUGAACCACCGAUUGGCAAAGAAAGCUGCAGAUUAAACUUCUCGUUUUACAGAGAAGGAAACUGAGGCCCAGACAGCCGAAGGAGAGGCAGUCUAUGGAGCGCAGCGGUAAAGAGCAAGGGGUUGGUGGCCCCAGAAUGGAACCUCAGCUCUGCCAGGUAACCAACAGCUGUGUGACCCUAGACGAGUUCCGCAGUCUCUCUGAGCCUCAGUUUCCUUACUGGUCAAACGGGAUAAUGGGAUACUAGCGCCCACCUCAUAGAGUUGUUCUGAGGAUUAGAUAGGAGAGCAGUGUGGGCCUUUGACUCAAUCAACUUUACAGUUUUUGUUACUACUACUGUUUAAGGACAGGAAACAAGUUAGUGGCAACGCCGAGCUGAAACCCGGGUCUCUCAACGUCCAGUUGGAGGUUUUACCCACCACCCCUCUACCUCUUCAGAGCUAAUGGGAUGCAGAGGCGAGGACAGCCCCUGGAAAACCAUGUGGCGUUGAUACACUGGCAAAGCGCAGGCAUCCCGGCCUCGAAGGUGCAUAAUUAUUGCAAUAUGAAAAAAUCGAGGCUGGGUAGGAGCAGGGCAGUGAGGAUUUCUCAACCCUUACUUUCACCCCGGCGCUGUCCACUGCAUCUGACAGAGCGCGGAGCUGGGCUGCUACAGCCGCAACCCCAGGGACCAGUGCGCACGCCUGGGCCGCCCUCCGGGAGUCACCCAGCGGCCGCGGACAACUGAAUAAACACCCCAAAGCGCUGCGGUCGGUCAAGGGCGGGGACAGCCACACUGCGCGCGGGGCCCGCAGGCCGUAAUAAAGAGUGGCUCGACCUCGCUGCUGCCUGUCGCGGGAGAGGAACAAGCUUUCGACUAGCGCCUCUCCCCGGGGCCCGCGCCCCGAGCCCCACGCGCAAGACAGCCCAACAGCUGUUCCUCCCCUCCCCGCCGACUCCAACUCUUCGGAAUCUGCCCACUCGGGGCUGCAGGGCAAGUGUUUAGGAUGGUUCCCAGCCCCGCGCUGGCGGUGAAAAUUUCAACGUCAUUCCUUCAAUUAAAAAAAGGGGGGGGCAAGGGAGGGGCUUUGUGAUAACUACUCCCAGCUUCUUCUGAUCAUUUCAAAAUUAAGUCGAUUUUUUUUAACCAGUCCCCACUUACUGUCCUAACUCUCCUCGCUGACCCUAUCUGGGAGCCCGGAACCGUUAGGUACUGCCGAAUGCGGUGCAAAAUUUCCCCCUCUCCCCCAGUUCGCAGUGCCUGGAGCCGCUGGGGUUACUCGUCUGUUCUGAUGCCACCGCGAGAUGGUCCCCGAGCUCCCCGAGAGUCCUCAGUGAAAGGAUUCCGCGGCACUGCCUCUAUUAUUAUACCGUAAAUCUUUUUAAAUUCUGGAACUAAUUAUAUAGAGGAUAUGUCUCAAUUUGUUCUGCAUUAAUGCCACAGUGGGGAUGGAGGCCAGGCCGUGGCCAGAGCAGAUACGUAGGCCCAUGAAAUUGAUGAACUGAGAGUUGCUUCCAGUCCUGAGCGCACCAUCUGGAAUUCCAGUCUGAGGUUACAAUUAGAACUCCUGACCCCAGAUUCAACUUUGCAAACAACAGGGGAAAAAAAUGGGGAAAAGAAAAACCACGAGAGAGGGAAAAAAAAUUAUUCUGCACCUGUAA
rnacentral:lncRNA from 1 species